CGAUGCGCUUUCAGACCAGAGAAGUGGAACGAAGAAUCACUGAUGCGUCGUCUCACCGCCUUCCCCUGGCGUAAUCUGGUCUAUGAUUCUGGAAGACCAGCAACUGGAGGAGGAGAAUCAGUAUCGUUGGGGGCACUUGGAAGAAAGUGAAAGUGAAGCAGGGACCCCAAACUGAAAAAGUAUUAGAACUCAACAAAACUUGAUCUGCCUUUGGAAACAACCCUUCUCAUCACACUCACUUUGUGACAUUCAGGUGGUGCUGACUGCAUCCCAGACUCCGGAAGGGGUGACAGAUCCUAUCCUCGUCAUGCUGGCACUGGUUCCGAACCUGUUGGAAAAAUGUGGUCUUACUACACUCUAUGCAUUUGAUUAUCUGCCUGUUUCUUUGCAAGACUGUGAGGCCCUCACUGAUUCAUCUUUACAUCCUGACCACUUGACAGAGUACCUGGCAUUCAGUAGGUGCUCAAUAAAUGUUUGCUAAAU